rnacentral:rRNA from 1 species
GACGAACGCUGGCGGCGUGCUUAACACAUGCAAGUCGAACGGAAAGACCCUGCGUUUGUGGGGUUCUCGAGUGGCGAACGGGUGAGUAACACGUGAGUAACCUGACCUUGACUUUCGGAGAACUUCACGAAACUGGGGCUAAUACCGUAUAGCAGCUCCUGCUCCAGGGUGGGGGUUGGAAAUUUUCGGCCUUGGGGGAUGGACGCGCGGGUUAUCAGCUUGUUGGUGGGGUAGUGGCUUACCAAGGCUUUGACGGGUAGCCCGCCUGAGAGGGUGACCGGGGACCAUGCGCCUGCGAUAAGGACCAGUAUCGUACGUGCGGCAGCAGGGGGGAACCUUGCCCAAUGGGACGACGUCUGAUGAAGAAACGCCGCGUGCGUAAUGACGGCCUUUGGGGUGAAAACAGCUUUAGCCUGUGACGCAGCGGUAGUGACGGUAACGGAUAAAGAAGCACCGGCUAACUACGUG